AGUGAACGCUGGCGGUAGGCCUAACACAUGCAAGUCGAACGGCAGCACAGGAGAGCUUGCUCUCUGGGUGGCGAGUGGCGGACGGGUGAGGAAUACAUCGGAAUCUACUCUGUCGUGGGGGAUAACGUAGGGAAACUUACGCUAAUACCGCAUACGACCUACGGGUGAAAGCAGGGGACCUUCGGGCCUUGCGCGAUUGAAUGAGCCGAUGUCGGAUUAGCUAGUUGGCGGAGUAAAGGCCCACCAAGGCGACGAUCCGUAGCUGGUCUGAGAGGAUGAUCAGCCACACUGGAACUGAGAAACGGUCCAGACUCCUACGGGAGGCAGCAGUGGGGAAUAUUGGACAAUGGGCGCAAGCCUGAUCCAGCCAUACCGCGUGGGUGAAGAAGGCCUUCGGGUUGUAAAGCCCUUUUGUUGGGAAAGAAAUCCAGCUGGCUAAUACCCGGUUGGGAUGACGGUACCCAAAGAAUAAGCACCGGCUAACUUCGUGCCAGCCGCCGCGGUAA
rnacentral:rRNA from 1 species